rnacentral:rRNA from 1 species
CGGAGGAUCCAAGCGUUAUCCGGAAUUACUGGGCGUAAAGAGUUGCGUAGGUGGCAUAGAAAGCGAGUAGUGAAAGCGUGUGGCUCAACCACAUAUGCAUUAUUCGAACUACUAAGCUAGAGAGUGAGAGAGGUAGCUGGAAUUCCUAAUGUAGGGGUAAUAUCCGUUGAUAUUAGGAGGAACACCGAUGGCGUAAGCAGGCUACUGGCUCAUUUCUGACACUCAGGCACGAAAGCAUGGGGAGCAAACAGGAUUAGAUACCCUGGUAGUCCAUGCCGUAAACGAUGGAUGCUAGCUGUUAUCGGUAUCGACCCCGGUAGUAGCGAAGCUAACGCGUUAAGCAUCCCGCCUGUGGAGUACGGUCGCAAGACUA